AAAAGACAAAAAAGACAAAAAAAAAAAAAAAAGAGUUCUGGAAAUCAGCAUGUAAAAUGGGUCUGUUUGGGAAACGAUGCUUAGUGGUUUCAUCUGUGUUGAAUUUAUACUGAAGAGUGUUAAAGCUUCUUUUUUAAAUUAAAUGUAUUUAUGUAUUCAUUUAUUUAUGGUUUUGUGGCCACCCUGUGGCGUAUGGAGUUCCUGGACCAGAGGUCAUAUCUAGGCUGGGGAUCAGAUCUCUGCAGAGAUGCUGCUGAUCCCUGUGUGCAGCGGUGGGAACUCCAGGUAACGCUUCUUGCUCUUCCUCAGCAUCACGGUCCCCGCUUAGGAGUGCACUGUCAUAUGGGGGACCUUCAAAUUUGAUUAUAGUAAUUAUUUCCAGAAUACUUGUACUUUCUUUUUAUCAGCAUAUAUUUACUUGUAUGUUGUUUUAUUUGCAAAGUGGGUGAGCCCAUAUUCAAAUCAGUUCUUGAGACUUAACUACUCUAGAGAAAAAUUGAUUUGACACCUUAAAAAUAGUUUCCUUUCAAAUAAGACGAAAAUGUUCCAAACCAGAAAGGUGAGGUGCUUGGUUGAGUCAAAUUUCAGUUCACCGUUUCUGAUGUAGGAUUUUUUGUUUGUUUGCUUAUUGCUUUUAAAAUCAUUCUUGAAGAGGAGAGAGGAUAAUUUAUAGAAUGAAGUAGAAGGCAGGACUGGGGUCAAAAGAUUGAGGAGAGCUAGUCGCUUUAGUGAGAGAAUUAUUCAUGGACCCUGUAGCAGCCAAGGACUUUGGGGAUUUGGAUGUGUAUCCUGAGAACCCUGGGGAGCCGUUGAAGCAGUGGGACGAUGUGACUGGCUUUGUGGUCUUGAAAGUGUCAUUCUGGCUGGGGUGUGGGAGAGAGUGUGUGGCUCUGGAGAAGCCGGUCCUGACGGCCUCGCUCACUUGAGCUGCUGGAGGGUGGGUGCAGGGGAGUGGGUGGUGACCCUGGGAAGCCAGCCUUGAGGGUGCGCUUGGUAUUUCGAUGUGGCCACUGAUUGGAUAAGGCCGUUCGCCAGACAGGAAAUGUUCCUCUUUUAAAAGUUGCGAAGUUUGCAGUCAGGAGAAAAUAAUUGGGUUUAAAUAUAUCGUCAGAUGUGUGAAGGGAAAGGCUCUCAGACAUGCAGCUUCCUUCGGUUUGGGAUUAUGCUUAUGAACUUGUUCUUGCACUUCAUUUUAUUUUUAUAAAAAUUAACUUGUCUUUUUUUGCCCAAUUAUUAAUUUUCUCCUUUCAUUGAAGAGGAGGCAGUCAUUCUCUUCCCUUUUUUAACAUAAAUCUUGGGGGAAGACAGUUGUAGCUUGUUUUUUAUUUUUAUUUUUAUUAAAAAAAAAAAAAGCCUUAUCAGGAGACGGAGAAAUCUCUGAUGAAGGGAUACAGGUUUUUUUUUUCUUCUUUUUCUUUUUACAGCCACACCUGCAGCAUUCGAAAGUUCCCAGCCUAGGGCUUGAAUUGGCGCCGGGGCCGCCCAGCGUGCACCACAGCCGCAGCAGCCACUCGGGAUCCGAGCCACAUCUGCGGCCCACACCGCAGCUUGCGGCAGCGCUGGGUCCCCAACCCACUGAGCCAGGCCAGGGCUGGAACUCACAUCCUCACGGAUACUAGUCAGGUUCUUAACCUGCUGAGCCACAAUGGGAACUCCUGGGAUGGAGUUUUAAAGAGUGGAUGUGAAGGUGUGGUCCAGUCUUCUCUGUUGUGUAAUUUCUAAGCCCCGACAGCCUUUUGCGGCAGAGCGGACCCAGGCAGCCGGUAUUGGUGGCCACCUGCUGGCUCUCCCUCAUGGCGGGGGGGGGGGGGGGGGGUGACUUUAGAAACAAGGCUCCCCUCACCUGUUGCCCGGACCCCUCCUCAGUGAUAACGUGUCUGUAGCAACAGUGUUUCAGCUGUAUUAUGUUAGAGGCACAGAAACCGCUUUGUGGCUCUUGUGAGGCUUGGCCAUGAAUAUGGGUUCUGAAUGGCUCUAACAUUUUCAGCCUGUUUUCUUGAAGAAAAGUUGUUUUGGGAUCCUGGUGCACUCCUGGUUCGUUCAGGUGGCAGAGCACAUAGAGGGCACGGUCUCCUAGAGUGCUCUGGAGUCGUCGAAGGACCCAGGGCCACGUUAUUUCUGCAGAAUUUGCUAGUGGUACGUUUUCUGUCACUUUGGAUUCUUUGGUGUUAAAGUAAAAAUUGACUAACAGAAGCCAAAAAAAA